GGCGCUAUAGUGUAGUGGUUAUCACUCGGGAUUUUGAAGCGUAUUGUCUUCCCGAAACCCAGGUUCGAACCCUGGUAGCGCCU